rnacentral:tRNA from 1 species
GGAGAGGUGCCAGAGUGGCCGAAUGGAGCUCACUGCUAAUGAGUUGUCUGCCGUAAGGCGGACCCAGGGUUCGAAUCCCUGCCUCUCCG